rnacentral:lncRNA from 10 species
AAGAGGUCUGAAAUACAGUAGCUUCAGAGGAUAAAACAAAGACCCUCAAUCCAUCCCUUUUCUGAUUAUGUGUUGCUGAAAAAUUAAAGUUGCACAGAUAUGUGAUAAUUCUCCCUACGUCAUAUGCAAAGAAGCCCCAAAACAAUAACAAACAAACAAAAAAAGAAUUUGAAGUCUGAAAAGUUUAAGUCUAUCCUAAAGAUAAGCUGGCAUGAAUAAAAUAAUAUUCUAUGUGUGCAGUGUGUUGGUAGGUUAUGAAGAAUUUCCAUAUGUAUGAUUUUAUUUGAUGUUGUGAACAAAUGUGAACCUGAAAGAGCUAAUCCUUCAAGAUGGAUCCCUAGCGGCUAACUGGGUCUACAUUUAAAAGAGAGCCAAGAAGCCAUUUGUUGACAAGAGUUCCCUAAAAACCAAAGCCAAACCUUUUUAACUUUUAGAAUUUCAGAGCUCACUUGAACCAACUAGAGCUCACCUGCCUUUACCAAUCAGGGCUCAGCCAUGUUGACCAAUCAAAACUCAGCAAGUUUGAAUCCUUCAUUUGCAUGAACAGACUUGAUUGUGAACUUAGGUGAGAACUUUUGCUAUAAAACUUGAACCCUCAGCCAGUCAUGGUGACUCACACCUGCAAUCCCAGCACUUUGGGAGGCCGAGGCAGACAGAUCACCUGAGGUCAGGAGUUCAAGACCAGCCUGGCCAACAUGGUAAAACCUCGUCUCUACUAAAAACACAAAAAUUAGCCAGCCGUGGUGGUGGGCACCUGUAAUCCCAGCUACUCGGGAGGCUGAGGCAAGAGAAUUGCUUGAACCUGGGAAGCAGAGGUUGCAGUGAACCGAGAUCACGCCACUACACUCCAGCCUGGGUGACAGAGCGAGACUCCAUCUCCAAACAAACAAACAAACAAAACAAUUGAACCCUCUCUGUUCUCUGGAACACACCUUCUUCUGUUUACACCAAAGGCCAUGUCUUCCCAUUAUACAAACUGUUCACUGGAAUAAAGUCUCUUUCCCUCAAAUUCCUUUUCAGAGAACCUUUGUUCACAGUCUGCAGCAAAAUCAUGUGAGCAUGGUGAGACACAUGUCACAGCCUCCCAUUUUACAGAAGAGGAAAACUGAGACUAGAAAAACUGAUUUUCUGGUGUGGCCCACCUUCUUGUUCCAAAGAAUAUUCCUGGGAGAGAGCUCUAAGAUGUCAGCAGUGGCAAUAAUGUUGGAACAAGCACAUUGCCUGACUGGCGAUUAGUCUGACGUGGAUGACAAGCAGAUCAUUGGACACUGACUCACACAGGUGGAUUGCAACUCCUGAUAUGUUUUGUUGGCUAGUACAGUU